AUUGAACGCUGGCGGCAUGCUUUACACAUGCAAGUCGAACGGUAACAGGCCGCAAGGUGCUGACGAGUGGCGAACGGGUGAGUAAUGCAUCGGAACGUGCCCAGUCGUGGGGGAUAACUACUCGAAAGAGUAGCUAAUACCGCAUACGAUCUAUGGAUGAAAGCGGGGGACCGUAAGGCCUCGCGCGAUUGGAGCGGCCGAUGUCAGAUUAGGUAGUUGGUGGGGUAAAGGCUCACCAAGCCAACGAUCUGUAGCUGGUCUGAGAGGACGACCAGCCACACUGGGACUGAGACACGGCCCAGACUCCUACGGGAGGCAGAAGUGGGGAAUUUUGGACAAUGGGCGCAAGCCUGAUCCAGCAAUGCCGCGUGCAGGAAGAAGGCCUUCGGGUUGUAAACUGCUUUUGUACGGAACGAAACGGCUCUGGUUAAUACCCUGGGCUAAUGACGGUACCGUAAGAAUAAGCACCGGCUAACUACGUG
rnacentral:rRNA from 1 species